UACGAAGGGGGCUAGCGUUGCUCGGAAUCACUGGGCGUAAAGCGCGUGUAGGCGGUCCGGUAAGUCCGCUGUGAAAGUCGGGGGCUCAACCCUCGGAUGCCGGUGGAUACUGUCGGGCUUGAGUACGGAAGAGGCGAGUGGAAUUCCUGGUGUAGCGGUGAAAUGCGCAGAUAUCAGGAGGAACACCAAUUGCGAAGGCAGCUCGCUGGGACGUUACUGACGCUGAGGAGCGAAAGCGUGGGGAGCGAACAGG
rnacentral:rRNA from 1 species